rnacentral:rRNA from 1 species
CACGUAGGGGGCAAGCGUUGUCCGGAUUUAUUGGGCGUAAAGAGCUCGUAGGUGGUUCGGUAAGUCGGGUGUUAAACCCCCAGGCUCAACCUGGGGACGCCACUCGAUACUGCUGUGACUAGAGUCCGGUAGGGGAGCGUGGAAUUCCUGGUGUAGCGGUGAAAUGCGCAGAUAUCGGGAAGAACACCCGUGGCGAAGGCGGCUCUCUGGGACGGUACUGACGCUGAGGAGCGAAAGCAUGGGGAGCGAACAGG